GACGAACGCUGGCGGCGUGCUUAACACAUGCAAGUCGAGCGAUGAAGUUCCUUCGGGAAUGGAUUAGCGGCGGACGGGUGAGUAACACGUGGGUAACCUGCCUCAUAGAGGGGAAUAGCCUUCCGAAGGGAAGGUUAAUACCGCAUAAGAUCGUAGUUUCGCAUGAAACAGCAAUUAAAGGAGUAAUCCGCUAUGAGAUGGACCCGCGUCGCAUUAGCUAGUUGGUGAGGUAACGGCUCACCAAGGGGACGAAGCGUAGCCGACCUGAGAGGGUGAUCGGCCACAUUGGGACUGAGACACGGCCCAGACUCCUACGGGAGGCAGCAGUGGGGAAUAUUGCACAAUGGGGGAAACCCUGAUGCAGCAACGCCGCGUGAGUGAUGACGGUCUUCAGAUUGUAAAACUCUGUCUUCAGGGACGAUAAUGACGGUACCUGAGGAGGAAGCCACGGCUAACUACGUGCCAGCCGCCGCGGUAA
rnacentral:rRNA from 1 species